UUAUUGCCCUUCUAUCCUGCUCUAUACGAGUCAGAAGAAGUCAGGCUCAGUGAUAAAAUAAAGAAGCAGUAAUCUAAGAUACAAGAAAAUUUUAUGUGUACGAAUUUUGUUAUAUAUUAUAUUCUUAUACUCUAUGAUUGCAGGAGAAAAGCAUUGAAUAUAAUGAAAAGAAAAAAAACGACCACUGACCAAAAAAAAAGAUUAUUAUACAUGAAGCAUUAAUUCUAUAUCCAGAAUUUAUGUCACUUAGAAUUUUUUCCUCGAUGCAUCCUAGCAGAAACAGUUUUGUACGAAGAGUAGCAAAUAGCCUAUACAAUUUGCGAACAUCUUCAAGAAUAGAUGUCUGUUCUGAUAAUGGAAUAUUAAGUAUACGUAUUCGUGACACUCACACACAUAGAGAUUCUGCGCUUGCUGGACAAUAAGCAAACGUCGAAGAAAUUUCAAUAGUGAAGACCACACUAGGUGAAGAAGCUGUUGGCAUGUUAUUUAACAUGGACAAGAUAAAAUUCUUGCAAUUGUGUCGCCCUACGCUCUCUCCGUUAUAGAUUUCUAUAUCUCAUAAUGAAUCGUCAUACUCUUUUGGUAUUAAAAUGUUAUUUACUAUUCCCUUACAAAAAAAAACUACAAGAAUACGAAAAAAUUACUGGUAUACUAUUGAAAACUUCAGUUCUUUAAUAGUAUACCAGUAAUUUUUUCGUAUUUUAUAGUUUUUUUUCGUAAGGGUUACACUACUUGUAAAUAUUUAAAUAAUAAAUGUCUCG